rnacentral:rRNA from 1 species
UACAGAGGGUGCGAGCGUUGUCCGGAAUCACUGGGCGUAAAGGGCGCGUAGGUGGCGCUCCAAGUCUGUGGUGAAAGCUCGAUGCUUAACAUCGAGUCGGCCACGGAUACUGGGGGGCUAGAGCACUGUAGGGGCAGAUGGAAUUCCGGGUGUAGCGGUGGAAUGCGUAGAGAUCCGGAAGAACACCGGUGGCGAAGGCGGUCUGCUGGAUCCCUUCUGACGCUGAGGCGCGAAAGCCAGGGGAGCAAACGGG